GGGACUAUCCUUAACUCAUGUAAGGCUUUAAAAACAAUCGAAAUUUGUAAGUCUUUUAAUCUUUUCCUUUAAGGUGAUCUUCUGUGAUUAGUUAUAUACCCCUCUCUUGUACCUUUUUUUAUUUUAUUUUUUAUUUAAAUUUUUUUAAUUAUUUAUUCAUUUUUUAUUAUUAUUAUUUUAUUAUUAUUAUUAUUUGUUCUACAUUGUGACUGCUUCUUUCUUUGUCUAUAUAAUGAUCUUAAUUUAAUAAAUAAAUAAAUAAAUAAAUAAAUAAUGUGAGGGUUUAGGGUGCCAUUUGGGAUUCAAUCAGAGUGAGCCCUUUCAAACUCAAGGAUCAAACCAAAUCAUAAUCACAGGGAAAAUGAAAAAUCAUACACAUACAUAAACACGUAGAUAAACUCAACAAUUGAAAAUCAAAUUUUAACGUCAAUAUUAUGCAAAUAAAUACAAAAAAUAAACAAAACAAUACAUUUAUACAUACAUUCAAAUAAACACAAUGAAACAAUGACCCCCUGCUCACACUGGUAAGUAGACUAUGCCUACACUACCCAUAAUUCCUCAUGAUGGCAUAAAAAAGGAAACAGGAAGGCCACACUUCCUCUUAAAUCCCCACCCCCAUCCCGGAGCCAUGCUGCAGCCAUGAACCCAAAGACAAAAGACACAUUUGCAACAAGGUUAAGCUCCAGUGAGCAAACCUUCACUGCAAGGUACCUUCAUCUGCAUGUUCCAGAUUCUAGGACCCAUUUGGUGCAAGAGAUCAGGCUGUUGAAAUGGAUUCUGGCUCCUUUCCUCACUGGAUUUUUACACAGCACAACCAGUGGAAUAAGACACCACCACCAGACUGCUCACUCGACCACAUGGAACGUAUCAAAUAUCACUUGACCAAAUCCAGAGACCUUGGCAUUUUUAUCAGUAUAUGAUUUUCUAAAUUACAUUAGAUGUUGUGAAGCUUACAUUUUACAUUUAUGCAUUUGGCAGACGCUUUUAUCCAAAGCGACUUACAUUGCAUUAUAUUAUAAUAAUAAUAUAAUGCCAGAGACCUUGGCAUUUUUAUCAGUAUAUGAUUUUCUAAAUUACAUUAGAUGUUGUGAAGCUUACAUUUUACAUUUAUGCAUUUGGCAGACGCUUUUAUCCAAAGCGACUUACAUUGCAUUAUAUUAUACAUUUGUAUCUGAGUAUGUGCAAUCCCUGGGAUUGAACCCACGACCUUGGCAUUGCUAGUGCCAUUCUCUAACCACUGAGCUACAGGAAAGCAUGAUGUCAGAAACAAAUAAACUUUCAUUUGUUAGAUGCAUAAUCAGGUUUUUCACAUUACUUUCAGGGAAAAAAAAGUUAAUCUUUCCAUAAGAUAAUGCUACUCUGCCAUAGCAACACCCAACUUAAUCACUUGUAUCUUGUUGAUCUUAAGCACUUUAUUCCUUUAUCAUUCAUUUAUUUCAUUUUGGCAGUUGUGUUGAUUACUGUUGUUUAUCUUUUUGUUAAUAAAAUAUUAUACUUGUGA